GAUGAACGCUGGCGGCGUGCCUAAUACAUGCAAGUCGAGCGAACGGACGAGAAGCUUGCUUUUCUGAUGUUAGCGGCGGACGGGUGAGUAACACGUGGAUAACCUACCUAUAAGACUGGGAUAACUUCGGGAAACCGGAGCUAAUACCGGAUAAUAUUUUGAACCGCAUGGUUCAAAAGUGAAAGACGGUCUUGCUGUCACUUAUAGAUGGAUCCGCGCUGCAUUAGCUAGUUGGUAAGGUAACGGCUUACCAAGGCAAUGAUGCAUAGCCGACCUGAGAGGGUGAUCGGCCACACUGGAACUGAGACACGGUCCAGACUCCUACGGGAGGCAGCAGUAGGGAAUCUUCCGCAAUGGACGAAAGCCUGACGGAGCAACGCCGCGUGAGUGAUGAAGGUCUUCGGAUCGUAAAACUCUGUUAUUAGGGAAGAACAUAUGUGUAAGUAACUGUGCACAUCUUGACGGUACCUAAUCAGAAAGCCACGGCUAACUACGUG
rnacentral:rRNA from 1 species